GAGUCGCUGAACUUUCUGGAAGCCUUGGUGGCAAGAUUGCUCUGGACCUUCCUCAGGCUGAAGGCUUGCAUUUCACAUCUGCAGGAGGGCCGCCUAAGACGGGAGAUGACUGGGAAAUGAAGCAUGGCAAAGCCAAUGAAUGACUAGAAGCAACAGAAAGAGUUCGAGCCAUCAGACGGAAUAGAACGGAGCCAUAACUUUAUGCGAACCGCAGGGUAAGCGUACUGAACUGCUGUCUUGGAUUGGUGGUGGACAUCCAUGGUACACCUAGCAUGGAGGCGGAGGCAGGAGGGGGCAUAAGUUUGAGACCAGCAAGACUCUUCCUCAAAGGCAGAUAAGGA